UUCGAAGUUUACUCACUUUCUGCCACUGAAUUUGUGUUUUCUCAAACCCUCAGGAGUUCAAUUCCCUUGCCACUGCCUUCCACAAUUCGUCUCCUUUU